ACCUCUGGUUGUCAUCGCCGUGCCGUUCUUGGGGCUGCUAGGGUUCUUUGGUGGCUUCACAUUGACGCUGACAACCUACUACGUGAUAGAUCUGUCAUUUAAUCUCUAUCUGGUUUUCUUUAUUUCAAUCCAUUCUAAUUACGCACUUCAUUAUCUGUUGACUCAUCUCAUAGAUUGAGAGUUAAAAAAUUAGAAACUCCGCAGAAAUAAAAGUUUUUUCGAACCAAACACACCUUGUCGCCAUCAAAACACACCGCCAACGCCAGUACUCCACGGUACUGCGCCGCCCAGUACUCCGACAGCCACUUCGCUGCUGCUGCUAUGUCCUGCGCGCAGCCGAUGCGGCGCCGAUCUCCAUGGUUGUGCGAAACCUAGGCGGCGGGCGCGAGCGAGGCCACAAGGCGGCAUCUGCCUCCUGAGUGGGGAGCGGGCUCCCCCGAUCCACAUCGUGCGGGCUGGUGGCUGCGUCGCGAUGAACCCGUUAUGCUGCAUCGCGCCGGUCUCGCUCGAGCACGCUGCGGAUCAGCUCCACGAGCACCCGCAGCGCAUCCUCGCUGGUGCACCGCCGGCGACGCCGGCCCCAAAGCAGGAUGCGGUUGUGGGGGUGCUGCACAAGUGGGUCAACUAUGGGAAGGGGUGGCGGUCGCGGUGGUUCGUGCUCGAGGAUGGGGUGCUAUCCUACUACAAGCUCCGCGGAGCUGGUGCUGGGGGGGUAGCCGUGUCGCCCGCUGCUGCUGCAGCCAGAGUGAUCGGGGACGGGAGUGCCGUGCAGCAGGCGCGGGAGGUGGCCGCGGGGGCAGGAAAGCUGUGGAAGCCGUUUGGCGUGAUACACCUCAAGGUCUCGUCUAUUCGUGCAAGCAAGUCUGAUGAUAAGAGGCUGUACAUAUUCAGUGGAACAAAGACACUACAUUUGAGGUGUGAAACUGAGGAGGAUAGGAAUGCGUGGAUAGAUGCAUUGCUGGCAGCGAAGGAUCAGUUCCCACGGUCACAGACUAGCAAUGAUGUUGGUUCUAUGGCAGAUAUUAUGUUGUCCUCUGAGAAGCUUAGGGCACGGCUGCUUCAAGAGGGUCUGUGUGAAGCAGUGGUCAGGGAGUGUGAAUCUAUUAUGAUGAGUGAGCUACUGGAACUGCACAAUCAUAUAAAGUCUCAGCAGCAGCAGCAUUCUAUUUUGAUAGACCGCCUUCGGCAACUGGAGACGGAGAAAGUUGAACUGGAGAGAACAGUUGUCCAUGAGACUAAGGAGAGGGAAACACUUGGCUAUGCCAACAGCAGACAAAGUGAUUUCUAUUCAGUUUUAUCAGGAGGAAGUACAACUGAAUCAGACCCUGACACUGCAAGCCACAUGGCUGAAGUUGAAACUGAGGAAGAUGAAGUUACAUACUUUGAUACAAGAGACUUUUUAUCUGCAGAGUCUUUACGGAGUGCUUCAUGUCAAAGGAGGGAACUAAUUGCACAUGGUUUUGGAUCAGAAUAUGUUGGAGAUUCUGUUACAAAUACUGUCAAAACUACUAAAUAUCCCUUUGUGUUACGUAGGGAUAAGCUACCAGAGCCGAAGGAAAAAGAGAAACAUAUAGGAUUAUGGUCAAUAAUUAGAGAAAAUAUAGGGAAAGACCUGUCAGGUGUUUGUCUACCUGUUUAUUUCAAUGAACCUCUUUCUUCUUUACAAAAAUGUUUUGAAGAUUUGGAGUACUCUUACUUGGUUGACCAUGCACUACACUGGGGAAAACAGGGUGACAGCUUAAUGAGGAUACUUCAUGUAGCAGCAUUUGCAGUAUCAGGUUAUGCUUCAACCGAAGGUCGGCAAUGCAAACCCUUCAAUCCCCUACUGGGGGAAACAUAUGAAGCUGAUUAUCCAGAUAAAGGACUUCGUUUUUUCUCUGAAAAGGUCAGUCAUCACCCAAUGGUUGUUGCAUGCCACUGUGACGGCAGAGGUUGGAGAUUCUGGGGUGAUUCCAAUCUGAAAGGGAAGUUCUGGGGUCGAUCCAUUCAGCUUGACCCAAUAGGCGUUCUUACGCUCCAAUUUGAUGACGGAGAAACAUUUCAGUGGAGUAAAGUGACUACUUCCAUUUACAAUAUCAUAAUUGGCAAAAUUUACUGUGACCAUUAUGGCACAAUGCGCAUCAAUGGAAGUGGCCAGUACUCCUGCAAGCUUAAAUUUAAAGAACAGUCAAUUAUUGAUCGCAAUCCACACCAGGGCUGUCAUGCGUGUGGACAAAGAAGACAUCUGCUGCACCAUCUGCCGGUGGAAGUCGACCAUCAUCAUCUUCAAGUCCCCCACAUCGCUGGGUUGAGGAGCAGCGGGCGGUGGAUCCAUGUUGGCUGGGGCGCCAUUGGAGGCGGGUGCCAUCUCUGUCCCGGACAUCUCCGAUACCAGAUUGGUACGGCUUGAGCUUCUCAGGUUGUAGGGAUGAUGUUGCUGAGCAAGGGCACGCCGCCUGGGUGCCGUUCCGGGGGUGCCGUGGUGAAGAGGAUGAGAGAAGGGACUAAGGGAAGCUGAAAGUGCAUGGAUUUGUGCAAGAUAAUAGAACAGGGCAAAAAGUAGCUAUGUUAAUUGGAAAAUGGGAUGAAGCUAUGUAUUAUGUGCUUGGGGAUCCAAGUGUUAAACCCAAGGGAUAUGACCCAAUGUCAGAAGCAGUUCUUUUAUGGGAGAGGGACAAGUCUCUUAAUCAGACACGUUACAACCUUUCUCCUUUUGCAAUUUCUCUAAAUGAAUUGACACCACAUUUGUUGAACAAGUUGGCUCCUACUGAUUCUCGUUUGAGACCAGACCAAAGGCAUCUGGAAAAUGGUGAAUAUGAGAUGGCAAAUUCAGAGAAACUUAGGCUUGAACAACUGCAACGGCAGGCACGACAACUGCAAGAAAAAGGAUGGAGACCAAGGUGGUUUAAGAAGGAUGAUGGCGACAGUUACCGCUAUAUGGGUGGAUACUGGGAAGCGAGGGAGACGGGGAACUGGGACGGUAUUCCGGACAUCUUUCGCCAGAAUAGUUUGUCUCCAGGACUGCACUAACUACCCUUCUUCCCUAUGUUAUACUUGUGUAUCUCCACCAAACAUUUAACGAAGUUAUGGUGGCAACAAGGCAGAGCCAAAGCAUAGCGUUUCUUCGUGGGCAUGGUCAACCUCGUGUCGGCUGGGGUUGGACAAGUGGUUGGAAACGUAGGUUUCAUUUUUGAAUUUCAGGACUAAUUUUGUCUUGGAAUGCGGUUAGUUUAGAUUUGUUUUUUAUGCCUUGGCGGCUAAUCCACGGAUGGUAGGCUUUGCCGCGCGCUCUAGUGUCUUGGGCCAUGUAUGGAGUAUUAUCUAUGGACAUCGGGUGAUUUCAAUCGUCGUCACAAUACUUCUUGACUGUUACAAUCGAAUUUACACAACAUAAGAUGUGAUAUCUGGCUCAAUUUGGAUUGAAUCUAUAAUUGUCCUUGUGUCA